rnacentral:rRNA from 1 species
CCUACGGGUGGCAGCAGUGAGGAAUAUUGGUCAAUGGGCGCGAGCCUGAACCAGCCAAGUAGCGUGAAGGAUGACUGCCCUACGGGUUGUAAACUUCUUUUAUAAAGGAAUAAAGUGAGGAACGUGUGCCUUUUUGUAUGUACUUUCUGAAUAAGGAUAGGCUAACUCCGUGCCAGCAGCCGCGGUAAUACGGAGGAUCCGAGCGUUAUCCGGAUUUAUUGGGUUUAAAGGGAGCGUAGAUGGGUUGUUAAGUAAGUUGUGAAAGUUUGCGGCUCAACCGUAAAAGUGCAAUUGAUACUGGCAGCCUUGAGUACAGUUGAGGUAGGAGGAAUUCGUGGUGUAGCGGUGAAAUGCUUAGAUAUCACGAAGAACACCGAUUGCGAAGGCAGCCUACUAAACUGCCACUGACGUUGAUGCUCGAAAGUGUGGGUAUCAAACAGGAUUAGAUACCCGAGUAGUC